rnacentral:rRNA from 1 species
UUGUACCUACGGGGCGCAGCAGUAGGGAAUAUUGCUCAAUGGGGGAAACCCUGAAGCAGCAACGCCGCGUGGAGGAUGAAGGUUUUCGGAUUGUAAACUCCUUUUGUUAGAGAAGAUAAUGACGGUAUCUAACGAAUAAGCACCGGCUAACUCCGUGCCAGCAGCCGCGGUAAUACGGAGGGUGCAAGCGUUACUCGGAAUCACUGGGCGUAAAGAGUGCGUAGGCGGGGGAAUAAGUCAGAUGUGAAAUCCUGUAGCUUAACUACAGAACUGCAUUUGAAACUGUUA